ACUGCACAGACCUAGGCUCU
rnacentral:miRNA from 1 species